rnacentral:rRNA from 1 species
AACGAACGCUGGCGGCGUGCUUAACACAUGCAAGUCGAGCGAGAAAGCUCCCUUCGGGGAGUGAGUAAAGCGGCGGACGGGUGCGUAACACGUGGAUAACCUGCCCUUUGGUUCAGGAUAACAUUUCGAAAGGAAUGCUAAUACGGAAUACGUCCAUCCCUCGCAGGAGGGAUGGGGAAAGAUGGCCUCUAUACUAUGCUAUCGCCGGAGGAUGGGUCCGCGGCCCAUCAGCUUGUUGGAGAGGUAACGGCUCACCAAGGCAAUGACGGGUAGCUGGUCUGAGAGGACGAUCAGCCACACUGGAACUGAGACACGGUCCAG